CACGUAGGGUGCGAGCGUUGUCCGGAAUUAUUGGGCGUAAAGAGCUCGUAGGCGGUGUGUCGCGUCGGCCGUGAAAACCUGCAGCUUAACUGUGGGCUUGCGGUCGAUACGGGCAUCACUGGAGUUCGGCAGGGGAGACUGGAAUUCCUGGUGUAGCGGUGAAAUGCGCAGAUAUCAGGAGGAACACCCGUGGCGAAAGCGGCGCGCUGGACCACUACUGACGCUGAGGAACGAAAGCUAGGGGAGCAAACAGG
rnacentral:rRNA from 1 species